rnacentral:rRNA from 1 species
AAAGCGGGUGAAAAGCCCGCUCGCCGGAAGACCAAGGGUUCCUGUCCAACGUUAAUCGGGGCAGGGUGAGUCGACCCCUAAGGCGAGGCCGAAAGGCGUAGUCGAUGGGAAACAGGUUAAUAUUCCUGUACUUGGUGUUACUGCGAAGGGGGGACGGAGAAGGCUAUGUUGGCCGGGCGACGGUUGUCCCGGUUUAAGCGUGUAGGCUGGUUUUCCAGGCAAAUCCGGAAAAUCAAGGCUGAGGCGUGAUGACGAGGCACUACGGUGCUGAAGCAACAAAUGCCCUGCUUCCAGGAAAAGCCUCUAAGCAUCAGGUAACAUCAAAUCGUACCCCAAACCGACACAGGUGGUCAGGUAGAGAAUACCAAGGCGCUUGAGAGAACUCGGGUGAAGGAACUAGGCAAAAUGGUGCCGUAACUUCGGGAGAAGGCACGCUGAUAUGUAGGUGAAGCGACUUGCUCGUGGAGCUGAAAUCAGUCGAAGAUACCAGCUGGCUGCAACUGUUUAUUAAAAACACAGCACUGUGCAAACACGAAAGUG